rnacentral:rRNA from 1 species
GAAACGACUGCUAAGACUGGACAGGGGACAAGAAGGCAUCUUCUUGUUUUUAAAAGACCUAGCAAUAGGUAUGCUUAGGGAGGAGCUUGCGUCACAUUAGUUAGUUGGUGGGGUAAAGGCCUACCAAGACUAUUAUGUGUAGCCGGGCUGAGAGGUUGAACGGACACAUUGGGACUGAGACACGGCCCAAACUCCUACGGGAGGCAGCAGUAGGGAAUUUUCGGCAAUAGAGGAAACUCUGACCGAGCAACGCCGCGUGAACGAUGAAGUAUUCGGUACGUGAAGUUCUUUUAUUAGGGAAGAAUAAAUGAUGGAAAAAUCAUUCUGACGGUACCUAAUGAAUAAGCCCCGGCUAACUAUGUGCCAGCAGCCGCGGUAAUACAUAGGGGGCAAGCGUUAUCCGGAAUUAUUGGGCGUAAAGGGUGCGUAGGCGGUUAAAUAAGUUUAUGGUCUAAGUGCAAUGCUCAACAUUGUGAUGCUAUAAAAACUGUUUAGCUAGAGUAAGAUAGAGGCAAGUGGAAUUCCGUGUGUAGUGGUAAAAUGCGUAAAUAUAUGGAGGAACACCAGUAGCGAAGGCGGCUUGCUGGGUCUUUACUGACGCUGAGGCACGAAAGCGUGGGGAGCAAACAGGAUUAGAUACCCUGGUAGUCCACGCCGUAAACGAUGGGUACUAAACGUUGGGUAAAACCAGUGUUGAAGUUAACACAUUAAGUACUCCGCCUGAGUAGUACGUACGCAAGUAUGAAACUUAAAGGAAUUGAUGGGACUCCGCACAAGCGGUGGAUCAUGUUGUUUAAUUCGAAGGUACCCGAAAAACCUCACCAGGUCUUGACAUGCUUCUGCAAAGCUGUAGAAACACAGUGGAGGUUAUCAGUUGCACAGGUGGUGCAUGGUUGUCGUCAGCUCGUGUCGUGAGAUGCUGGGUUAAGUCCCGCAUCGAGCGCAACCCUUAUUGUUAGUUACCAGCACGUAAUGGUGGGGACUUUAGCAAGACUGCCAGUGAUAAAUUGGAGGAAGGUGGGGAUGACGUCAAAUCAUCAUGCCCCUUAUGACCUGGGCUACAAACGUGAUACAAUGGCUGUUACAAGGGGUAGCUGAAGCGCAAGUUUUUGGCGAAUCUCAAAAAAACAGUCUCAGUUCGGAUUGAAGUCUGCAACUCGACUUCAUGAAGUUGGAAUCGCUAGUAAUCGCGAAUCAGCAUGUCGCGGUGAAUACGUUCUCGGGGUUUGUACACACCGCCCGUCA